rnacentral:rRNA from 1 species
GAUGAACGCUGACAGAAUGCUUAACACAUGCAAGUCUACUUGAACUUCGGUUUGGGUGGCGGACGGGUGAGUCACGCGUAAAGAACUUGCCUCACAGUUAGGGACAACAUUUGGAAACGAAUGCUAAUACCUGAUAUUAUGAUUUUAGGGCAUCCUAAAAUUAUGAAAGCUAUAUGCGCUGUGAGAGAGCUUUGCGUCCCAUUAGCUAGUUGGAGAGGUAACGGCUCACCAAGGCGAUGAUGGGUAGCCGGCCUGAGAGGGUGAACGGCCACAAGGGGACUGAGACACGGCCCUUACUCCUACGGGAGGCAACAGUGGGGAAUAUUGGACAAUGGACCAAAAGUCUGAUCCAGCAAUUCUGUGUGCACGAUGACGUUUUUCGGAAUGUAAAGUGCUUUCAGUUGGGAAGAAAAAAAUGACGGUACCAACAGAAGAAGUGACGGCUAAAUACGUG